GACGGAGGAGGCAAGCGUUAUCCGGAAUUAUUGGGCGUAAAGCGUCCGCAGGCGGUUUUUUAAGUCUGUUGUCAAAGGUCACAGCUCAACUGUGGAUCGGCAAUGGAAACUGGGAGACUAGAGUGUGGUAGGGGUAGAGGGAAUUCCCGGUGUAGCGGUGAAAUGCGUAGAUAUCGGGAAGAACACCAGUGGCGAAGGCGCUCUACUGGGCCACAACUGACGCUGAGGGACGAAAGCUAGGGGAGCGAAAGGG
rnacentral:rRNA from 1 species